rnacentral:lncRNA from 1 species
GUAAGAAACGAGACGUGCAUUAUUUUCAUUUGAUUGCAUUUCACCAGCCAGCUAUUUUGAGUCAUCAAUGCUAAACGUGAGCUAGCGGAUUUGAGCAUUGUUUGAAAACACUAAAUCAUCCAGCUAGCUAGCUAAUUAUUGUAUCGCUUGACAGAUUACAAAAGUAUAUAACGUUAACUAAUGAUUUACAAACGCAUGCCAGGAUCCGUAACGUUUAGAAUGUGAUCCACUUGAGCCCAAAGAGUGGAGUCUGGAGAGAAAGCGUUGAGAGAAUUGACACAGGUUUAGCAAGUCUGUUAGUAACACAUGUUUAGCUAACCAGACAGCCCCAUGGAUGUCUCGCCUCAAUGAACAUCUGGCUGCAUCGGAUAUUGGGCCCAGCUGAGAUCAGAUGUUGACCCCCUACAGGCCCUUCAAUAUGCAUGACUGUCUCCCCUCCUCCACCGUCCAACCCCCACUAAACAGCUGAAUACAGCCAGCUAGUCUACAAUCCCACUGCAGUAAUGCCCAUGGCAUGAUACACAUCCAGAUAAUAAUACAGUAAUAGAGUUGUGUUACUAAGACGUGUAUCAUCACUUCGUCUAGUUUGCUCUGAGCCUUUUCAAGUAUUGGGGACAAAGUCACUGACCAGAUCACACAUGAUUUGGAUAGUCCAUCUGUAGAUGGUGUACAGAUGGUCAUUACUAUCAACAAACUAUCUGUUGAUAAGCAACUGCUUGCGAAGUUUAGGUUUACAAUAAGGGUUAGGUCUAGGUUUAGGAUAAGGGUUAGGUUUAGAAUAAGGGUUAGGGCUAGGUUUAGGAUAAGGGUUAGGUUUAGGAUAAGGGUUAAGUUCAGGGUUAGGAUAAAGGUUAGGGUUAGGUUUAGAAUAAGGGUUAGGGCUAGGUUUAGGAUAAGGGUUAAGUUCAGGGCUAGGAUAAAGGUUAGGUUUAGAAUAAGGGUUAGGGCUAGGUUUAGGAUAAGGGUUAAGUUCAGGGUUAGGAUAAGGGUUACUGUUAGGGUUAGUAGAUAGUUUAAAUGUUACUGAUAGUCUCUAGAGCAUAUACAGACGGAUGAUCCAAAGACCAAUUAGUGGGAAAAUAUCAUAAUUGGUUUGCCUGUGUGAACGCAGCGAUAUAGAUACAGUCAAUCAACUGGAAGGAGCUAGUUGAGGAACAGGAUGUGCCACUGGCUAUUUGCAUAGCCAACACCAACUCUUUAUCAUGUUGACAGAUUCAGAUCUGUAGUAGAGACAAAUCACCACAGACACUGUAGACUAACAAUAGACAUUCUGUGUACAUCACAUGUACAUCCACACUGGUGGAUCCUUGUUAGGUGAUGAUGACUAACGUUAUAGUGAUGUAUUUGGGGUAGCCUAGUAGUACAUUGGUAGCCUGGUCCCAGAUCUGUUGUCUCCUUCUAUAGCCUGGUCCCAGAUCUGUUGUCUCCUUCUAUAGCCUGGUCCCAGAUCUGUUGUCUCCUUCUAUAGCCUGGUCCCAGAUCUGUUGUCUCCUUCUAUAGCCUGGUCCCAGAUCUGUUGUAUCCUCCUAUAGCCUGGUCCCAGAUCUGUUGUCUCCUUCUAUAGCCUGGUCCCAUAUCUGUUGUCUCCUUCUAUAGCCUGGUCCCAGAUCUGUUGUCUCCUUCUAUAGCCUGGUCCCAGAUCUGUUGUCUCCUCCUAUAGCCUGGUCCCAGAUCUGUUGUCUCCUUCUAUAGCCUGGUCCCAGAUCUGUUGUCUCCUUCUAUAGCCUGGUCCCAGAUCUGUUGUCUCCUUCUAUAGCCUGGUCCCAGAUCUGUUGUCUCCUUCUAUAGCCUGGUCUCAGAUCUGUUGUCUCCUUCUAUAGCCUGGUCUCAGAUCUGUUGUCUCCUUCUAUAG